GUGCAGCAGUCGAGAAACCUUCGCAAUGCGGGAAACCGCGACGAGGGGACUCCCAGUGCCUACGCUCAGCGUAGGCUGUUCCCGAGCCUAGAAAGCUCGGGGAGUAAGGGCUGGGUAAGACGGGUGCCAGCCGCCGCGGUAAUACCCGCAGCCCGAGUGGUGGCCACUAUUAUUGGGCCUAAAGCGUCCGUAGCCGGCCCGGUAAAUGCCUGGGUAAAUCGUGAGGCCUAACCUCACGAAUUCCGGGUAGACUGCCGGGCUAGGGACCGGAGGGAGGGAGAGGGUACUCCGAGGGGUAGGGGUGAAAUCCUGUAAUCCCUGGAGGACCACCGGUGGCGAAGGCGCUCUCCUAGGACGGGUCCGACGGUGAGGGACGAAAGCCAGGGGAGCGAACCGGAUUAGAUACCCGCGUAGU
rnacentral:rRNA from 1 species